UAUUUAUUAAUAUGUCUAUGAUUAAUACUGAUAGAAUAUCUGAUAUCAAUUACCAUAACUGGUAGUUACAAUAAACCACGGUUUAAGAUCUACAACCGUGAUGGGUACCCCUGACAAAUAUCCAUUGAGUAAAUAAUAAUUAUAUAUAAAAAAAAAAUAUCUUUAAUCGUGGUCAUAGAUAAUAAUAAUAUCACAGAAUAAUCAAAGAAUUCUGCCGAAAGAUAAGCGAUAUCAGGACCAUUUAAAAUUUUGCCUUAAUAAUUUUAUAGUUUUAAAACCGGCCACCGGGAUCCUGCCUCACAUUCCAGGCGAAGAGUACGGAUAAGUUGUAUACUUGUAUACUGUAAAAAUAAAAUGUAUUUUGGACUUAAUUUUGGUAGACAAGCCAUUUUGAAAAAGGCCAAUGUGUGGAUACGAUGCAUGUGCAACGUUU